rnacentral:rRNA from 1 species
UUAAAUUGAAGAGUUUGAUCAUGGCUCAGAUUGAACGCUGGCGGCAGGCCUAACACAUGCAAGUCGAACGGUAACAGAAAGCAGCUUGCUGCUUUGCUGACGAGUGGCGGACGGGUGAGUAAUGUCUGGGAAACUGCCUGAUGGAGGGGGAUAACUACUGGAAACGGUAGCUAAUACCGCAUAAUGUCGAAAGACCAAAGUGGGGGA